rnacentral:rRNA from 1 species
GAUGAACGCUGGCGGUAUGCUUAACACAUGCAAGUCGAACGGUCACUUCGGUGAUAGUGGCGGACGGGUGAGUAACGCGUGAGAAUCUGUCUUCAGGUCGGGGACAACAGUUAGAAAUGACUGCUAAUACCGGAUGUGCCUUCGGGUGAAAGAUUUAUUGCCUGAAAAAGAGCUCGCGUCAGAUUAGCUAGUAGGUGGUGUAAGAGACUACCUAGGCUCCGAUCUGUAGCUGGUCUGAGAGGACGAUCAGCCACACUGGAACUGAGACACGGUCCAGACUCCUACGGGAGGCAGCAGUGGGGAAUUUUCCGCAAUGGGCGAAAGCCUGACGGAGCAAUACCGCGUGAGGGACGAAGGCUUUUGGGUCGUAAACCUCUUUUCUCAAGGAAGAUGAUGACGGUACUUGAGGAAUAAGCAUCGGCUAACUCUGUG